rnacentral:rRNA from 1 species
CCCGUGAGAUCCGAUNUCNCCGCCNGUCNNNAGGCGGACGGAGGGACGGANGAGGUUACNNGGAAAAAAUUGGGGCGAUCUAGGCGGGCGAACCUCGCCAACGAACGAUCGGACAUGGGAUAACGGAAGAGGGCGUCGGCUCGAGUUCGUCGGUUCCUCGGGCCGAGGCACGUACGGUGAAUAGGGACGGUCGGGGCCGCCCGUACCGGGUCGUGAGAGGUGAAAUUCUAGGAUCGACCCGAGACGAACUGCCGCGAAAGCAUUCGGCAAGGACGCUUUCAUUAAUCAAGAACGAAAGUCGGGGGAUCGAAGACGAUCAGAUACCGUCGUAGUCCCGACCGUAAACGAUGCCGACCGAGGGCCCGGAGGAGUUACGUACGACCUUCCGGGCCCUCCCGCGAGAAAUCAGGAGUAUUCGGGUUCCGGGGGGAGUAUGGUCGCAAGGCCGAAACUUAAAGGAAUUGACGGAAGGGCACCACCAGGAGUGGAAUCUGCGGCUUAAUUUGACUCAACGCGGGAAAACUCACCAGGUCAGGACACGGUAAGGAUUGACGGACUGAAGGAUCUUUCUCGAUUCCGUGGAAAGUGGUGCAUGGCCGUUUUUGGUUGGUGGAUCGAUCCGUCUGGUUAAUUCCGUUAACGAACGAGACCUCGGCACUCCGAAUAGCGCGGCGGACGNCGCGGCGAACGAGACCUCGGCACUCCGAAUAGCACGGCGGACGCCGCGGCCUCCGGGCCGUCUUCCGCGCGAGCUUCUUAGAGGGACCGUCCCCCGCCGGGGAAGGAGGUUCGAGGCAACGACAGGUCUGUGAUGCCCUUAGAUGUUCUGGGCCGCACGCGCAUUACACUGACGCGUCCAACGGGCGACUCCCGGCCCGAAGGGGUCGGGGAAUCCGCAAGGCGCGUCGUGAUGGGGAUUGAACGUUGCAAUUGUUGUUCACGAACGAGGAAUUCCUAGUAGGCGCGGGUCAUCAACCCGCGCCGAUUACGUCCCUGCCCUUUGUACACACCGCCCGUCGCUCCUACCGAUCGAACGGUCCGGUGAGGACCCAGGACGGCGCGGGACCCGAGGGGCCGAAAGGCUCCGCGACCCGAGUCGGAAUCCGUCCGAACCUUACCGNUUAGAGGAAGGAGAAGU